rnacentral:rRNA from 1 species
GUGGGGAAUUUUGGACAAUGGGCGAAAGCCUGAUCCAGCCAUGCCGCGUGCAGGAUGAAGGCCUUCGGGUUGUAAACUGCUUUUGUACGGAACGAAAAGACUCCUUCUAAUAAAGGGGGUCCAUGACGGUACCGUAAGAAUAAGCACCGGCUAACUACGUGCCAGCAGCCGCGGUAAUACGUAGGGUGCAAGCGUUAAUCGGAAUUACUGGGCGUAAAGCGUGCGCAGGCGGUUAGAUAAGACAGAUGUGAAAUCCCCGGGCUCAACCUGGGAACUGCAUUUGUGACUGUAUAGCUAGAGUACGGUAGAGGGGGAUGGAAUUCCGCGUGUAGCAGUGAAAUGCGUAGAUAUGCGGAGGAACACCGAUGGCGAAGGCAAUCCCCUGGACCUGUACUGACGCUCAUGCACGAAAGCGUGGGGAGCAAACAGGAUUAGAAACCCUUGUAGUCC